rnacentral:rRNA from 1 species
UACGGGGGGUGCAAAUGUUGUUCGGAAUCACUGGGCGUAAAGGGAGCGUAGGCGGGCUUCUAAGUUAGAUGUUUAAUCCCGGGGCCCAACCCCGGACAGGCACCUAAAACUGGAAGUCUUGAAUAGUGGAGAGGACGGCGGAAUUGGGGGUGUAGCGGUGGAAUGCGUAGAGAUCCCCAAGAACACCAGUUGCGAAGGCGGCCGUCUGGACACAUAUUGACGCUGAGGCUCGAAAGCAUGGGGAGCAAACAGG